UACGGGGGGGGGCAAGCGUUGUUCGGAAUUACUGGGCGUAAAGGGCUCGUAGGCGGCCAACUAAGUCAGACGUGAAAUCCCUCGGCUUAACCGGGGAACUGCGUCUGAUACUGGAUGGCUUGAGGUUGGGAGAGGGAUGCGGAAUUCCAGGUGUAGCGGUGAAAUGCGUAGAUAUCUGGAGGAACACCGGUGGCGAAGGCGGCAUCCUGGACCAAUUCUGACGCUGAGGAGCGAAAGCCAGGGGAGCAA
rnacentral:rRNA from 1 species